rnacentral:rRNA from 1 species
AUUGAACGCUGGCGGCAUGCCUUACACAUGCAAGUCGAACGGUAACAGGUCUUCGGAUGCUGACGAGUGGCGAACGGGUGAGUAAUACAUCGGAACGUGCCCGAUCGUGGGGGAUAACGGAGCGAAAGCUUUGCUAAUACCGCAUACGAUCUACGGAUGAAAGCAGGGGACCGCAAGGCCUUGCGCGGACGGAGCGGCCGAUAUCAGAUUAGCUAGUUGGUGGGGUAAAAGCUCACCAAGGCGACGAUCUGUAGCUGGUCUGAGAGGACGACCAGCCACACUGGAACUGAGACACGGUCCAGACUCCUACGGGAGGCAGCAGUGGGGAAUUUUGGACAAUGGGCGCAAGCCUGAUCCAGCAAUGCCGCGUGCCAGGAUGAAGGCCUUCGGGUUGUAAACUGCUUUUGUACGGAACGAAACGGUGAGCUCUAAUAAAGACUUGCUAAUGACGGUACCGUAAGAAUAAGACCGGCUAACUACGUGCCAGCACG